rnacentral:rRNA from 13 species
ACACAUAGGUGUCUGCGAAGGUGCAAACCAUGGUAUUCGGCCGGAUACCAGUGCGGCACUGGAAGGUC